rnacentral:rRNA from 1 species
UGGGGAAUAUUGCACAAUGGGGGAAACCCUGAUGCAGCGACGCCGCGUGAGCGAAGAAGGUUUUCGAAUCGUAAAGCCCUGUCCUAUGAGAAGAUAAUGACGGUAUCAUAGGAGGAAGCCCCGGCUAAAUACGUGCCAGCAGCCGCGGUAAUACGUAUGGGGCGAGCGUUGUCCGGAAUUAUUGGGCGUAAAGGGUACGUAGGCGGUCUAUUAAGUCAGGUGUGAAAGCGUGAGGCUUAACCUCAUUAAGCACUUGAAACUGAUAGACUUGAGUGAAGGGGAGGAAAGUGGAAUUCCUAGUGUAGCGGUGAAAUGCGUAGAUAUUAGGAGGAAUACCGGUGGCGAAGGCGACUUUCUGGACGUGACCUAACGCUGAGGCACGAAAGCGUGGGGAGCAAACAGG